AUAGUGGCAGUAUCAUAACCAAUGAUGUUAAUCUGAGGUGUGAUUAUUGCUAGUUGAAAACUUUUUUGCAAUGCGCUGAUCCAAUGAUAUCUAGAAAAUAAUUACAGUUGUAUCACAACA
rnacentral:snRNA from 1 species